GCUGGAAUUGCAUAGAGGCCGAAUGCACCGUUCUUGUAAAACGGAAUACCACACCGCAGGUUCGAAUCCUGUUUCCAGCUC
rnacentral:tRNA from 1 species